GUGAACGCUGGCGGUAGGCCUAACACAUGCAAGUCGAACGGCAGCACAGUAAGAGCUUGCUCUUACGGGUGGCGAGUGGCGGACGGGUGAGGAAUACAUCGGAAUCUACUUUUUCGUGGGGGAUAACGUAGGGAAACUUACGCUAAUACCGCAUACGACCUACGGGUGAAAGCAGGGGAUCUUCGGACCUUGCGCGAUUGAAUGAGCCGAUGUCGGAUUAGCUAGUUGGCGGGGUAAAGGCCCACCAAGGCGAUGAUCCGUAGCUGGUCUGAGAGGAUGAUCAGCCACACUGGAACUGAGACACGGUCCAGACUCCUACGGGAGGCAGCAGUGGGGAAUAUUGGACAAUGGGCGCAAGCCUGAUCCAGCCAUACCGCGUGGGUGAAGAAGGCCUUCGGGUUGUAAAGCCCUUUUGUUGGGAAAGAAAAGCAGCAGGUUAAUACCCCGCUGUUCUGACGGUACCCAAAGAAUAAGCACCGGCUAACUUCGUG
rnacentral:rRNA from 1 species